CGCCAAACAUCAAUAGCGUGGCCUGUGCUAUGUGAUUGCAUUGUUACUGCUGGAGUGAGCAAUUUCAGAUUGCGUCAUGAUGGCGUGCCCCGUUAGCGUCGUGAUCGGCGUGCCCUGUUAGCGUCAUGGUUGGCGUGCCCUGUGUUAGCCUCAUGAUUGGCGUGCCCUGUGUUAACACGAUAUGUUUUAUUUAUUCGUGUGCUGUGAUUUCAACACCAGCAUUGGUCAGAGGAGACUCGCAAGCAGCAAGGAAAGGAGGCUGCUCUUCAUCAGCCAGAAGUUUGAUACAAAGGAUUACACAAGUUGAUUUCAUUACUUAUAAGCAAACUCAAUUUUUUGGAUAUAGAUGGGCAGCAAUUUUAUCGAGCCAUGACAUCUGAUUUCUGUUAUCCUGCUUAUGGUGACCUGUCACUUGAUGAUAAGCCAAACCUAAGUUGCCUCUAGGAAUUAUGAAUGUCAAAUUUGGGACACAGCUGUGCAGUUUUUUUAUCGAGCUCUGACUUCUGAGUAUGAUUUAAUUAUUUAAUUUUCUUAGAGUUUACUUUAUUAAUUGGUCGAAACCCUAUGCUUCUGUUGCUAUACUCCAUGCCUUUGGUGCAACACAAUGAUUUAAAUUGAUAAUAAAUACUUUAUUUAUCAACAA